rnacentral:rRNA from 1 species
GAUCAGGCUCAGGAUGAACGCUAGCGACAGGCCUAACACAUGCAAGUCGAGGGGCAGCGGAGAGGUAGCAAUACCUUUGCCGGCGACCGGCGCACGGGUGAGUAACACGUAUGCAAUCCACCUGUAACAGGGGGAUAACCCGGAGAAAUCCGGACUAAUACCCCAUAAUAUGGGCGCUCCGCAUGGAGAGCCCAUUAAAGAGAGCAAUUUUGGUUACAGACGAGCAUGCGCUCCA